rnacentral:misc_RNA from 1 species
GAUGAAGAACGCAGCGAAAUGCGAUAAGUAAUGUGAAUUGCAGAAUUCAGUGAAUCAUCGAAUCUUUGAACGCAUCUUGCGCUCCUUGGUAUUCUGAGGAGCAUGCCUGUUUGAGUGUCAUUAAAUUCUCAACUACACUGACUUUGAAUUGGUGUGGCUUGGAUUUGGGGGGAAAAUUGUUGUGGGCUUUUUGUAUAGUCUGCUCCCCUGAAAUUGAUUAGCGGUACCUUUGUGGAACUGUCUACAGGUGUGAUAAUUAUCUACAUCUUAGACAUCUGCUGGAAUGCUGCUUUCUAAACCUUACUUGUAUUGACAAUCUUGACCUCAAAUCAGGUAGGACUACCCGCUGAACUUAAGCAUAUCAAUAAGCGGGG